rnacentral:tRNA from 1 species
GCGGAAGUAGUUCAGUGGUAGAAUAUAACCUUGCCAAGGUUGGGGUCGCGGGUUCGAAUCCCGUCUUCCGCUCCA